rnacentral:lncRNA from 1 species
CUAGAGUUUCGGAUUAUGAAAUCACAGAAGGGGAUGAGCGAAUCAGUUCAAAUCACAAUGAAAUCCCCAAAAUCCCGAAACCCUAGAUCAUGAUUUCCCUAAAAUCCUUAUGAACUCAAACCCUAAUUUCACUGGUUUGAGAUAAGGAUGACUUACUUUGGCAUGGGGUCAGAGCUCCUAUAAUGUUCUAAGCACUAUGGCGGCAUAUGGACGCGCUACAGUGCUCACGCACAUCAACCGUAGGCACAGGCGCCGCCGCCAGGCCGUGCUGGUGUGGCCGUGCGCGCCGGUAUGGCCCAUGUGCAGCCGUUGCGGACCAAAUCUCAGUGUGUUGGCUCGCGCGCGACCACUGAUGUCUCGGCCGCGUUGCCCGCACCACCCGUGUGCCACUGCCAUUGAGCGUCUUGCUCCCGCACUGCUGUCCGGCCCGUGCCACCUUGUGGCCGAACGUGCAGGAGCCGCCCGCACCGCCGCCGCUGGCUCGCUCACAGCCGCCCGCGUGCCCGCCGCCAUUGCUGCCCUCGCCCUACGCGCGGUGCCCUGAAGGAGCUGGCCAGGAGCCGCGCGAUGGCGCCCGGGCCGGCCCCACCUUCCUCUGCCCACAGAGAGCGCCGUCACUGUUCUGGUGGCCGGCUGCUGCGAGAAAUGUGGAGGAAAGG